CACAGAAUUACAAACAUCAACCUGAAGAACCGCUUCUAUGCUGCGUUGGACCGACAUGCCCCCCGUCUUCAGAGCUUGUUCAGGAUGAAAGCAAGUCAUACAGGGAAAGUGUCCGAAGUUCUGGGCCAGCUCUUCAGGAUGUAUGAUCUCCAGGUCGAAUAGCAGAUCAUGCCGGCUUGCUCAUCACCAGCCUGGGCUCGAGGGAGCACAAUUGGGCUCAUUCUCUCUGGGAACAAGUUGACGUUCAUGUCAGACGUGCUGCUCUCCUCCUUUCUCUUCCCGCCUAUCUGUAUGAGGAUGACUCCAGCUUUGUGAAGACGUGGAAUUCUGAUGAACCAGACAUCAAUGACGUCAGUUUGGUCUCCUCUCAAUCAGUGCCAGGUCAACAGAUGCCACAUUCUUCUGCCCAGAGAGGACUGCAGUUGCAAC